AGAACGAACGCUGGCGGCGCGCCUAAUACAUGCAAGUCGAGCGAGAAGGUGUAGCAAUACACUUGUAAAGCGGCGAACGGGUGAGGAAUGCAUGGGUAACCUACCCUCGAGUGGGGAAUAACUAGCCGAAAGGUUAGCUAAUACCGCAUACGUUUCCGGAACUUCGGUUUCGGAAAGAAAGCAAUACCGUGGGUAUUGCGCUCCUGGAUGGGCUCAUGUCCUAUCAGCUUGUUGGUGAGGUAACGGCUCACCCAAGGCUUCGACGGGUAGCUGGUCUGAGAGGACGAUCAGCCACACUGGCACUGCGACACGGGCCAGACUCCUACGGGAGGCAGCAGUAAGGAAUAUUGCGCAAUGGACGAAAGUCUGACGCAGCGACGCCGCGUGGGGGAUGAAGGUCUUCGGAUUGUAAACCCCUUUCGGGAGGGAAGAUGGAGUGGGUAACCACUUGGACGGUACCUCCAGAAGCAGCCACGGCUAACUUCGUG
rnacentral:rRNA from 1 species